GGAGGGGGUCGGUGUGCGGAGGAUGGGGGGGGGCCCAGGAAGGAGGAAUUAGGCGGGAUGACUCAUGCGUCACCCUGCUUCCUUCCGACCUGCGAUGCAGUCACCCAGUAUCAGGGGGCGUGAGAACCUCCUCCCCACCGCCAGUGGGCUGGCGGAGGGGGCGGAUGCUUCUCGUCUGCCUGGAGCGUUUGGCAACACCGUGGGCGAGAGCUGCGCAGUGUAGGACGCCCCUUCUCCGCUGCCGGCCUCCACCCGGGCCGCUCGGCGUCUCCUCUUCCCGGAAGCCGGAGCCUCGAGCGCCCCCACCUGGAGCCUGACGGCGCUGGGCGGGAGCCUUGGCGAGAACCGCUAGGCCUCCUUCCGCUUCGUCCGAGGCCCCAGUGUCCAAAGGGGGUUAAUAGCGUCUUCCUGGCGUGCGUGUCUUGAGACUUAGCGAGGAUGGACGGUGCUUCUAUUUCCCACAAUUCUUACCUGCAUUUUGGAGUCAAAGGUUGUAUUUGUAGCUUCUGAUGCCAUCUGUAUUGGAAUUAAGGGCUCCUUAGGAAGGAGAAGCCACGGGGGCAGUGUGCCCUGUUAAUAUUUUUUGAGUAUCUACUGUAUAAAUGAGACUUUUGAUGAUAAAAGUGAUGGAGAAGGUUGGAGACUCAGGGUCCUUCAGGGAAUGAAGAAAAACCACCAAAGAUAGGAUCAAAGAAGGAGCCUGCAGGUGUUAGAGGCCAGUACCAUCUAAUUUGCAAUUUUACUAUAGCCAAACUUCUCAAAGUAAAUUAAGUACAGUGUAAUUUUUAAUUUUAUCUUUUCUAGCUUCUCGUUUUCUUCUGAAAACAUUACUAUCCAAAGAAGCAGCAGGCUUCUCAGCUCUUGGAAAAGCCAUUUAAGAAGUCCCAUUGUCAAUUUCAAAUGGAACAGGAAGGAAGGAAAGGAAGGGAAGGAAGGAAGGGGGUAACCUGCUACAUUAUCAUUUAAAAAUAACUUAUUAAGACUACAGGCCUCUUUUUAUAUAGGUAGGAAUCCAAAAAUUCUGAGAGGGAAUAUUCAGUGAGUGUUCACAGGAAGCCCAUCAACAUCAGAGAUGAUUUUUCCUCGUGAGCUCCCAGUUUCCAUCGAGCUGUUUGAUCCAAAAGAGUGUGUGAGAAAGUAAAUCAGAGCACUACUCACCCCUGCCUUCAAAGCAUCCUUAUUUCUGUAGCCUCUUGGGAGCUGAAGCCAGUGGAGGAAGCGAGACCUCCCCUAGACCCUCAUCUGUUAAGAGUCCCACUUCUCCCAUUACCUUUUAUUCUCCUACGCCAGUGUGUUUGUCCGUGGAUGAAUCCUGCUGAAUUUGCCACUCACUCAGAAGGAAAAUUAACUACAAAUUUACUUCUGGACACCCAGUUUAAUGUUAAUAAUCCUGCUUGACAGCUGGUGAGAGCUUCCUGAGUGAGGAAGGGAUAAUAGGUUUCUGUUUGUGUGCCAACUCCAAAAGAUUGAUUGCCCAUGACUAUAUAGGCAAGGACAGCCUUGAGAAGGUGUUGAGGCCAUUUUUUAUUUUUUGGUUUUUUUUUUAAACAAAAAAUAAGUCAUAAUCAAUUAGUGAUAAUCUAACGAGAAAGAAAGAUUAGUGGCACAAGUGUAAAUUAUGUUGCAUCAGUACUAAAUUCAGAGCUAUAAUUUAUUGCAAGCUUACAUCGUGCCAGAUGCUGGAUUAAGAAUGGUACAUGUGCUAUUUCGCUCAGUCUUCAUGAGUGCAUCUCCCAUGGUAGGGAUAAAAAAUGUGGGUACAGUGGGUUGAAAUAACUGGCUCAAGGUCACCCAGCUAGUAAGAGCCAGAACAGCUGCUCGAGCCCUGGCUUCAUGAUGUAGAUGUUCUGAUGCAAAACACCAGAGUGUGUGAAUUAGGGUUGGAGCUGAGGCUGCCACAGGCCAAGCCAUGGUGCUCCACUCAUGUGCGGCUCUAGGGCAACACACAGGGCCUGGAGCCCUUCCUUACGUGUGCCCUCAAUGCAGGCUUCCUAGUUUGGAGAUGUUGGCUUGUCUUCCAGUUCUGAGUCCACAAAAAAUUUAAUAAACACCUACUUUCUGCCAAGGAUCUGGCGAUGCAGUGGAGAGAAAAAUAGAGUUCCCUGCACUCAAGAAGCUUAAACUCAGGUUGAGGGAGUCAGGCAGUGAACGCAUAAACAAGACAACUCCCAGCCUGGGAAAAUGCUAUGGAGAAGCACGAAGAGAGCCACUGGGACCGACUGAGUGAAAGAGUUACUUAAGCCAAGGAUGAAGGUCUCUGAGAAAGAGACCCCAAAUGUGGGAAAGAAGCAGCUUUGGGAGAAUACGGGGACACGCGCCCAGCAGAAGGAGGAGCACAUUCAAAGACUCCGACAUCUAAGGACCCACCAUGUUGGAGAGAAUAGUCUCAGGUACCUGACAGCCCCUCGUUGAUAUUUCAACGUGGAAGACAAAGUUGUGCUUCAGCAACUGUCUGGGAUCCAGUUCUUCUGCAUGAAACCACUGGAUGGGGCUGGGGGUGUAGCUCAGUGAGACAGCACUUGCCUGGGGUAAGUAAGUAGGACCCUGGGUUCCUAGCACUGGAAAAACAAAUAAGCAAGCAGAGAAACAUAGAAACAACUAGGCUGGCCUCUGCAGAACAGCAGAGCGUGAAAGAGGUGAAAACUAAUUUCAGGUGCAGGGGAGGACGCCUCACUUGAAGAGUCAAUGAAGCUUCCUCCUGAGACAGAACCCUCUGGCAUUGCUGUCCUUCUUGUCUGUGCUUAUUUAAGGAGCGUGUAUCAAACCUCAUUUGUUUGUCCAGAAAAGGUUAACAGAAAUAAAAUUAUAAGCAGAGAAACCAUUUUUUUCUACUUUGAGAAACUUGUACUUGACUGGGGAUACGCAUGUGAAAGAAGGAGUAAACCUAAAGCAAUCCAGGAAACUCAGAUUGUAACUCAGUGAGUAUAGAGCAGUGUAGGUCUUCUUCACAUACCAUUCUUUUUUCACCCCACACUGUUUUUUGUAAUAAUUGCUGAUGUUAUCUCCAUUUUAUGGCCAGGAAAACUGAGGCUCAGAGGUCAAAUACCAGGGAAAGUAGUAAGGGGAAGGGAGAGGAUGCUAUUAGAUUUAAGAACACAGACUCUGCGUCAGAGUUUUAGAACUUUGGCUCCAAUUCUUACUCGUUUUGUAAAUUUGGGCAAGUUCUUUACCCCCUCUGGGACUCAGUUUCUCCACAUGUAAAGUUAACAAUGGUAUUGGCUUCCUCCAAGUGCACGAAAUGAGAAAUACAUUCAAGAUGCACAGGGCUGAGAACAGUUUGCUCUCAGCAGCCUAUGGUUUGAGGAAGAGACAAAGCCAGGACUGGAUCCCAGCAUCUCCUGCCUUUCAGAUGCGAGACCCUGCAUGCUGCGUGGAGUCCAGAAUCCCUCUGUUCAGAUUUAAAACACGGCUCAUUUCCGUCUUACAUAUAUAACCAUCUGUUUAUCUGCCCUGUGACUGUUUCUUCCUUUGAGAAAAGAAGAUAACACAGUGGCUACCUCAUGGGUUGAUGUGAAGGUUGGGUGGUUUGUUACACAUGCAAUAUUUAGAAUGAGGUUUACCACACGGUUAGUUCCCUAGGGGAAUUCCCCAAAAAGCAUGAAAACUGGAGGGGUGCACUUGGCUGGGGAGGCUGCGUCCAAGCAGCAUUGGUCACUUGUCCUGAUGGAGCAGAUGCCAACCGAUUCUGCACCCCGUGCUGAUCUUCCACUCGUGCAGUUGGAGGAGGUAUCGCGGCCAGAUUUGCACACCUACCUCCAUCUGCCAAAACCACAGGGGCUGCUCAGCAACACAUGGAAAAAUCCAAUUUGCAAUGCAAACCAUUUUCUUCUGCAUACAUCUUUCCACACUUGAAGGUGGGAAAACACACGUGAGAAUUCGUGGUGCUGGGGGGGGGCAUGAACUUGUUGACUCGUUCUGUCAGCCGGCAAUGAUGCCUGAGCCCUGUUGUCCCACAGAGCUGCCUGAUAUCCGCUGAGCUGGAGUGAGAGUUGGAAGGUUCUCUUACAGAGAAGAAAGCUUCAUCAGGCCCCAGAUAUAAUGAACGGCCUCAGCCCUUGACUUCCUAAACUGGAAGACUUAGUCUCAGCACGUUCUUAGCUUCCUUUGGCUUCACAGCCCCAAAGAUCUCCCCCUUUUCCCCUCCACUCUUAUCCCCUUCCCCUCAGCCAUCCAAUAGAGGCAGGAAUCAGGGCAGCUUUCCUUGCCACUGUGUAAACAUUUGCUAAAUUAAAUGACGGUUUAUUGCAUGUUGGUGGGGUGCUGCAUACACGACUUUAGUCCUCAGAGAGACGCCCAAAGAUUUGAACAGUCCAGGAAUUUAAGCCAUGACAUUUCCCCUGGUUAUGUAUAGAAAGCUUAUCUUUCCUACUCGUCAUCACAGUAGCUUUGGUUCUUGUACUAGAGAGCCGUGUGUUAAAAGUAUUGCUUACAUUUGGGGCAACUAGAAUGGGUCCGAUGUGACUGUGCUCCUUCGUUUGUGAAGUGGACCUAAUGCAGUGGCUGCCUCACGGGUUGAUGGAAAGCGGUUUAUUACGUGUGCAAAGGUGUAGAUUAAACAAGACAGAUGAGGAAAUAACAAUAUGUAUGACUUGAAUUACAAGCCCAUGCUAAAUAACAAAGGGCCCAGGAGACAGUGCUCUAACC